rnacentral:lncRNA from 1 species
UCAUAUCCAAACCAUUCUAAUUUCAUGAACCAUAAAUAAAAAAAUUAAAAAGCAAAUCCUAGAUGUAGAACUAGAUCUACACAUACAUGAUAAAGUGAAACAUAUCACCACUAAAAUCAAGCAAGAUCGACCAAUAAAGAGGGCAAGCUCAUAUCUCUAACUAAUUCCAACUAAUAGCUUAAGAACAAGGGUCUAAUUUGCUCCAUACAAAGCUCAAGCACCAUGAAGAGAGAGAAAAGCAAAACUCAAAUUACUCACUAACCAACCACUAAAACUUUAAUUAAAGUGUUGGAAUAGCAUUUUCUUAGCUUUUCCAAGCUUCCCAUCAUAGUUUUUGAGACCAAAACCUCCCCCCCUCACUAGAGCAAUUUUUAGGAGGUGCCCAAGGCCUCCCAACCUUAUCUCCUCGGGUUGGAAUGAGUGACCCGAGGAGGAAGAAGGCUGCAGCAUAUAUACAACCGUGAUUUGUGUUGACACUUGCUAACACCACUUGAAUACUAGGUUGUCAUCCCCAGCAUGGCACUAAAGUGUACUAUGGUAUUUAUAAGCACACAGAUAAUCCGCAAGCGCACGGAUACCGUUGAAGCUUUUACCCGGUUAAAGGUUUUAUCGUAUCCACAGGGAAACGGGAGAACUAAUCUUACGCUCUAACUUAACCAAGAUAAGUAAAUAGGUGUAAAUAGGAAAGAUGGUAGAAUUGAAUAAGAACAAUAUUAAAGGUAAGAUAACAAUGGGUGAUAAUAUGGGAAUAGAGAAUAGAGCAAUUCUAGUAUAUGGGCGAUGGUAGCACAAUAGAGAGGAUAACUAUGGUUUCUCUACUUCAAAGGGGUAUGUCUAUGUCUGGGACGUACCACGUGAUAAGAUUACACCACAAAGGAUGCUUAUCCAUAGGUCGAUAAACCCUACCCGUCCUGCUAACGAGAGGUGGACUACAGAGGACCAACGUAACUGUCACCUACGCGGCCUACCACACGAUCCAGCUAGACAGGGGAUAUCCACAAGUAAUCUAGGUCUAAGCACCACGCUUACACCUAUACUACAACUCUCACCUAUAGCGUCCUAUAGAUUAAAGUACUCAAAAGAGUUGUGAACCAGAACAUACAUGAUUAGUAAUUUCAUAAUGAAUUAGAAGUAGAUUACAAGAGUCAUCCCAUGAGCAAGCUUGAUUAGAGCUUGAUCAUGACGAAGUACAACCGGAGGAAGAACCGACAGGCCGGCCUCUCCUCCAAUCCUCCCUCGCUCUCCAUCUCGCGACUAUCUAUAUCUACUCUAGUUUAGAGAAGAGAGGAGAGCUCUCAUCUCUAAACCCUAGCUUUUGUUCUAUCUAUGAAUAAUGAAUAAUGAUCAAGGGGUGCCUCCUCCAGGGGCCAGGGGGUCUGGUUAUAUAGUCCCCUCAAGUGAACCUGGGCCGUCGGAUCAAACCGACAUUGAUUGAACGGUUAUUCUUGAUCCUUUAGGUCGGUGGAGAUCUCCCGAGAGAAAGAGUCCUGAUUGGGCUCCAAGUCAGGGCGGGCGCCCAGGGCAGGAGGGCGGCGCCCUGCCUCUGGCCCCGUUCGGCCUCCGCUUCCUUCCCGUGGCUUCUGGAGUCUUCUAGAUGUAAGAUAAUUGCACGACACGUUAAUAUCUCUAUGUAAUCCCGACGUGUGGACCUUUCUUCCGUAUUUCCUGAUAACCCCCUGCAGAAAUAGAUAGACACCAAAACUCGUGGAAUUCUGUUAGAUAAAACCCUAAGUCUAGAUGUUGAUUUCAUUUUGAUCCUUUUCUUUGUUUAUUUGAUAAUUAAAUUUGAUACUUAAGGACCGUCAACAAACUCCCCCAAGCUUACCUCUUGCUCGUCCCUGAGCAAGGAUAGACUCAGCAAUGGAUUAGAAGUUGUUGCAAUAUCUUAAAAAUUUGACGGUACACAUGCUUUUAAAUAAGAUCUCAUCUCUGAGUUAGAGUAAACUGUCAAGAAAUAAAACUUACUUACUUUACCUUUCACCAUGGGACUUGUGACCGUCACUUUUAUCUUGAGUAGUUAAAAGAUAGAACAGUCUAGCCAAGUGCCAUGUCUCUUAUUCUUGAUCAGCUAUAGCUCUGGAGUUUUUUUUGCAGAUUUUCAAAUAAAACUCAGAGAUUCCUUGUAUGACUCCCUAAAUCUCUCUUUUGUGGUAUUUUUGGAUCCUUAUUAAAGCAGUGAUGGUAUAUGCCUUCUCUCAAGAUAUGUGGUAUUUGUGGUAUAAGGCAUAGUGACAUUGCCUUCUCUCUCACCCUACUCUAAUAAGGCUUUAAUAUCUGGAGCUCAUAGGUGGGAGAUAAAGUAUACAUACUUACAAGACAUUUAUUGUAUAGUCAAACUAUGGAUCCAAAGAAAUAAAUCAAUAAGCCAAAUCAAUAUUUGCAUGUGUGGCGAAUGAAUGGUGUAUGGUGAUGAUGGUGAUAACAAUGCUAAAAGUCUAAUUCUACUUUUGCUCUCUUGAGGGGAUACAUACCUUCCUUGCUUUUUGAAAUUUUAUGAGGAGAAUGAGAUGCUCUUCUUUUUCUUUCCUCUCAGGUGGGUAUCUUGUACCCCUAAUUCUACUGUCGGACACUUGUCCAUUUUUACCUCUCGUCUCACUUUUUCUUUCUUUCGAGGUUCCGGGGACUUGCCCCUUUUUAUUUGCUCGUUUAUUUUUUUUUCUCUUUUUUUUCAGAGCAAUCAUCUCUAUAGCAAGUGGUAGUAGCAGGAUAACUUGAGCAUUUAUUUCACAAGGGAAAACAGAAAUAUUUUUGGCUAUUCUCUCCCGGAUUAGGAGUAGAAUAUUUUUGGGUGAUUCUGGAGAUGGACAUGGAUGGAUAUAUGUAGAUGGUACUUCCGGAGUAGAAGUAGCAUAUAUGAGUGAACGUGCAAGUGAAUCUUGAUUUAACCACAUGACAAGCUCCUAAGGGUCUACACAGCUUGACCACACUCAAUGCUCAUAAGUAGUAAAUAGUAAAUGUGUGGCUCAAAGUCUAGCAAGCAUGUAUAUAUGGCUGUGGUAGGAAUUUAAACUCUCAUCAUACAGGAACUCAUCAUGCAAUAUUUUAAAGAUUUUUCAAAAAUAAAAUUUUCCAAAAUUCUAGCAUCUCUAGGAAUAGAUAAACAGCAGCUCAACCUUCCCAUAUCAUAUCCGUUAACCACUUAGAUUUCAGAUCAAGUUUUCAUCCCACAAGUUUAGAUCUAGAGCAAGCUUUAAAUUAUAAUAGUUAUGUAUAAACUUGAGAGAGAACUUUAAAUUUGCAAAUUAGGCAGAGCAACUAUUCAUCAUAUCCAUGCUAGAGUUUCAUUAUUAAGAUUCAGAUUAGCAUAGCCACUUUAUUUAUUUAUUAAACACACUAAGCAAAAGAUAUAUAUAUAAGCACAAAAUCUUAUUUGGUUUUUCAUAGUUUAUGUAUUUUAAUAUUCUAAUCGUAAUAUAAGUAUAAAGAUAGGUAGAAAUACUUAGCGAGAUAAAUGGGGGUGCUCUUCCCCCAAGCUGAAUUUUGACGUAAUUUCUCUUGAUGUAGCUAGCAGGUGGUAGAGGUGUAUUUGAAAGUGAGCAGCAUUCUGACAGCGAUUAGAAUGUCCUCCGUCUGCUAGUCUUCUUGAUUCUUAAAUUCUGUGAAGCUCAAAUAGACAACAAAGCUUGUGGAACUAAUUAAGUGUUAGCAUAAAUAUCUAGCCUUCAGCAUGUUGAGCUUCCUCAAUAAAUAUUACUCCCUGUUUUUAUAUUUUUAUUUUAUAAAGCAGAAAAGAAAUAUUUAUUUUAUUUUUAUGCCACCAUAGUGAAGGUACUUAUGGGUUUUAUGCCACUCGUAUACUCACAUGGGGCUUAGUAUUUUUUAACAUUUUUAUUUUCUUUUCAAGAUAGCAUGAUUAACUAAUAAUCUAUUUAAGGAAAGUAAAUAAUUAAAGGGAAAGGGGAAUGCAGAAAGGAUAAAUAUGGAUAACUACCGAUCUUACCUUUCGGCGAGGGUUCAAUGUUUUAAGUCUUCUUAACAAGACUUCUCACCGUGUUCAUUCUUCACGUGCGUCAUUUGAUUCAGGUGCGGACCUUGACGUCUGCACCUCUUCGUUUGCCCAGCAGUUCGAAGUGCGGCGUUGGCAGUAUCCUGCUCAGUGUGUUUGUGCUCGUAGAUCCAGGUCCUUCACUUGGUAGAGUCUGAGAGUUAUAAAACUCUUCCGUGUUUUGCUCGAAGUGUAUCUGCUCAUAGAGACAAGGCAGAGAUCAAGUGCAUGGGUCCUGUUGGUGGAAAACACCAACAAAACCUAAAGUGUAUUUGUUCUUCUCUAACCCUAAGCAUAGUGAGCAAGACAAAGUUGAUGGAUGAAAAGUUCAUGAGUGUAGCACUUAUAACAUUUGUCAGAUUAGAUCGCUCAACCUUAUAGAAAGAUAAUCUAUCUAUGUAUAUGUCUUUUUCUUUAUAUCUCUCAAAGAUUGAAUGUGUAACAUUUUAGCUCAUAUGAUUAGGAGUGUGGGAUCAUGGAGGUAGUACUAAGAACAAGGAUUAAAGGACUAAACAUGUUGAAUCAGUUGGGUUGGUUAAUCUAGAGUUGUAAAUCAUACAUGUUUGUCUCUUUUAUGAACGCUAGAACCAAGGAGAAGCUUAUAAAAGUGAUAGUCAAGUACCUUAAGAUCUUACCUUGCUUGAAGAGUGAUGGUACAGUAUCACCUUGUGGAAGCUUUCCUUUCUUAGCGGUUGUGCAUCGUGUUUGUGGCACCCUCCAUGGAUCAUCUCUCUAUGAUGAAUGAGCUAUGUCCUUCUUGUGAAAAUUGUUAAACUUCAUGUGUCACUCUCUUCGUCUCUAAUGUGAGUUUAUCUUAGGACUUCCCAAAUCGAUAUUGAAAGUUUUCUGCAGGGGUUAGUCCGACAAAAUAUACCAAUAUCUACUCAAGCAGUUUUUAGUUCAGUAACCAAACUAGACUCCAUGUCUAAUCAGAUUAAGGAAGGCUAUUUAACCUAAGCACCAUGCUUAAUUUAAAUGCCAAUGGAUGUAUGGCGAGUACUUCCAAACCAACACUUGCUAGUAAAUAGACAAAGGUAGCAUGACAGCAUUUAUAGAGAUCUACUCAAGUGGAGAUGAAGUAGUGUGAUUAGUACUUAACAAAUUGAGCAUGUCUCAAAGGUAGGGACAACCAACAUAGCAACAUGGCAAAGGAUGUUUUUAUGUAAAGUACUCCCCCAAGCUUGAAUUUUACAAAAUUCAAGUUUGGGUGAAUUUAAUUCAAUGUUGUAUGAUGAUUGGCUGGACAUACCUUGUGCUUGUCAUUCAUCCGAUCUUCUUGCUCCAAUCCUAGAAUGGUUAGUGACAAGAAUACCCGAAGGAAUAUAUUUGUUUUUACAAUUACCCUUAUAUGCUCAAUACACCAGGUAAUGUUGUAAAUAAUUAAAAGCUCAUGUUAUGAUCUGAUCAGUGCUUAUUUUAAGACACUAAGCUUGUCCUUGGGAAACCAUCAAUUUAUGUCGGCGAAGUGGUUUCCCUUCCAACGCUGACCUAUAUCAAGAUCAACUCAACGAGAUCUGCAAUAUUUAUUAUAGACAUAUGCAUCGACAACCGCCCUUUUAAAGUUUUUGUAAAUAGAAAGGAAGAGGGGGUUGGAGAUCUCAAAUGUGGUAAUGUUGGAGAGACCAAUAGAUUGGGAAGAUGUUUCAUAUGAGCAUGGAGUAAAUGAAGUGGUUAUGAAAUAAAUUCUAUGCUCAUUAAUGUUAUUUUCGUCUCCAAUCUGAAUGUUCGGAGUUUCUUCUAGACUGGUCUCACCUAUGUCCUCUUCUGUAGUUGGAUGAACCUCAUCUUCAAAGGGAGUCAAGAACUCACCAUUUGAAAUUGAGCCAAAGUCAGAAUCCAUUAAGGCUUCUUCCUUAUCCAUCCAUUCUACACAUUUCAGCCAUUUAGAACUUAUGAUCAAGAAAUGGGAGCUGAUAGAAUUUUCUAUAUGGCUUAGCUCUCCUUCUAUGACAUUACUUGACAUGUCAUCCUUAUGGUCUUCAUGACUCCUACGGUUUGGUCGUCUUGAUGGAUUGCUAGGAUCAUCAUGAGACUUAAAAGUAGAGGGAUAAGAGGGGUCUCUAAGGUCAAGGAUGGAUUUAGAACUUGUGAACAUGGAAGGGGAGCAGAUAGAGUUUUCUAUAUGGCUUAGCUCUCCUUCACUUGAUAUGUCAUCCUCGACUUCUUCAUAACAGGAACCAGGACAUUCUCUAAGAGAACCAUUAUUGCGAGGAUUUGAAUUAUCCCUGCUUAAAGGUCUCUUAUGGAACCAAAAGUCUAAACCAUCAGCAUCUGAAAGAUUUAAGGUCGGAAUUCCUUCCUCCCUUGGAGAAUUUUGGGAUAUUGAUGGUUUAGGAUCGAUAGCUAAAGUUUGGGAUUGAAGUGGUUGUGAUCUGGCUAUCGAAACUUCUUCUUCUUGUCUAGGAACUGGUUCUCUCUCUUUCUCAGGGAUAUAAAAGCUAGAAGACUUUCCGCUCAUUAAAUCAAUCAAAUUCCAAGCUUCACUAGCGGAUAGGUGGUAGAAGGAUCCUCUAGAGGCUGUAUUCAAGGUUUGCUUAAUUUCCCCACUAAGGCCCUCAAAAAAUGAAUUAGAAGAACUUCUUCUGGAAUAGAAAGCUUUGGGCCAGUGAGAGUAAGGUUAAUAAAGUGGUCCCAUGAUUUCCUAAGAGAUUCUUCUUCCAGUUGUCUAAAAGAAAUAAUCUCACGCCGAAGUUCCGCCACUUUGGAGAUUGGAAAAUAUUUAGAAAGAAAACUACUAUAUAACUCCUUCCAAUCUCCAUGAACACUCCCUAUUUUGAGUUUGUACCAAUGUCUAGCUUUUCCCGUUAAAGAGAACGGAAACAGCUUCCAUUUAAGGGUCUCAUCGGACAUGCCUUCUAUGCGAAGGAGGUCACAGACUCUAUAAAACUCUCUUAGGUGUGUGUAUGGGUUUUCCUCACCUUCUCCUGAGAAAGGUUGUUUUUGAACAAAUUCUAUGUAUUCGGGGUCUAUCUCAAAACUAGAUGCUAUGAUAUGCAUUAGAGAUUUUGGUGGUUCGAGAUGUGUGCCCGUAGGUCUAUGAAAUUCAUAGAUAGACAUGUUUGAAUUCAUGAUAGACCAGAGAUCAAGGAUUAGAUAAGAAGAAAGAGUAGCAGAGAUAAGGCAAAAGAUAAAAGGAAAAGUAUAUAUAUAUAAUUCUUUUUUUAUUAUUAUUUUUUUAGAAAAUGAUUAAGCUAGUUCGUAGUCAACUCAGCAACCGUUUCCCCGGCAACGGUGCCAAAAAUGCUUGUUGACAGUUGUUAACACCACUUGAAUACUAGGUUGUCAUCCCCAGCAUGGCACUAGAGUGUACUAUGGUAUUUAUACGCACACAGAUAAUCCGCAAGCGCACGGAUACUGUUGAAGCUUUUACCUGGUUAAAGGUUUUAUCGUAUCCACAGGGAAAUGGGAGAACUAAUCUUAUGCUCUAACUUAACCAAGUUAAGUAAAUAGGUGUAAAUAGGAAAGAUGGUAGAAUUGAAUAAGAACAAUAUUAAAGGUAUGAUAACAAUGGGUGAUAAUAUGGGAAUAGAGAAUAGAGCAAUUCUAGUAUAUGGGCGAUGGUAGCAGAAUAGAGAGGAUAACUAUGGUUUCUCUACUUCAAAGGGGUAUGUCUAUGUCUGGGACGUACCACGUGAUAAGAUUACACCACAAAGGAUGCUUAUCCAUAGGUCGAUAAACCCUGCCCGUCCUGCUAACGAGAGGUGGACUAUAGAGGACCAACGUAACUGUCACCUACGCGGCCUACCACACGAUCCAGCUAGACAGGGGAUAUCCACAAGUAAUCUAGGUCUAAGCACCAUGCUUACACCUAUACUACAACUCUCACCUAUAGCGUCCUAUAGAUUAAAGUACU